CUCCAGUCUGCUUUUUUGUUGAGUGAAGAUUCUGCUCCCUUCCAGCUUGUGCUUUGCCAAGUCCAUUAUCCACCUUGGAUGGCAGUUUGCAAACUGCAGCCACCCGUAAUCCCAAGAUGUUGCUGCUGGAUUUUUCCAGGUUCUCAUCACUGGUGAGCACUUAGAGAACAUCUGCAAACAGCAGGAGGGGCUGGCACAGUGUGUUCCACUGGCAGAUGACAUCUGUAACACUGGCACAUCCAACUGGCACAGGAGAGCUGCUCUGAGCUCCUGGGCAGCAUCCAGAGAGGGGAGUUUGGAGAGAUCACCUCUAAAAUUCAGCCAGGGUGCCACAAGGAGAAAGGAAAUCCUGAAGAGAGCUGGCCUGCAGCAAGGUACAGAACAGAACUAUUUAAAUCAAGAAAUAUCUCUCCUUUCUUGUCUUGGAGCUGGCUGUGUCAGUCUUCAGUUUUCAGUGGGGAAAAAUCCCAGCCCAUGGAAUUUGUGGCUUUCUAAACCAUUCCUUUGUGUGGUGACUUCACAUCAGAGCAGAUCCUGCUUCUCCAGAGGGGUGGGAGCAGGGAUUGCUGGUCCACAGGAAAUUUUGGGUUGUUGUGGCCUUGGCUGUCAGAGUGUGGGGGUUUGUUGGCCAUAAUUCCUGUUCCAAGCCAAAAAAAGCACUCACUUUCCUUGGCACCAGGAGCUGCUCUGUGGUAAAAUCCUCGUUUGUGUGUGAGGAAAAGCCAGGAGUUUGUGCAGCCCAGGUGUUCCAGAGCUCUGUACCCGAGCUGCUGGAGCUCAGCGUGGAGCUGUGCAUGCUCAGCUCAUUCCCUGGGCUUGGACAAUUGCUCUUUUCCUUGCUUUCCCCUCCUUUUUUACACCUGACUGCAGUGGAGGCAUCAGCAGUGUUCCAGCAGCACCAGGCUUUAGGGAGCUGGAAGAGCCAGAUCCAGGAAAAAUGAGCUGAAUUCAUUGAAUUAAUUACUUUUGUUGUCCUCUAUUCCAGAAGCUCCACAUCUGCUAGGAAAGGAAACUAUGGAUUUAUGAAGCAAAUAAAACCUGGGAUAUCAUUGUUGGUAAAAUCCA
rnacentral:lncRNA from 1 species